rnacentral:rRNA from 1 species
UACAGAGGUCUCAACCGUUGUUCGGAUUCAUUGGGCGUAAAGGGUGCGUAGGCGGCGGGGUAAGUCAGGUAUGAAAUCUCGGGGCUCAACCCCGAAACUGCACUUGAUACUGCCUCGCUUGAGUACUGGAGAGGAGACUGGAAUUUACGGUGUAGCAGUGAAAUGCGUAGAUAUCGUAAGGAAGACCAGUGGCGAAGGCGAGUCUCUGGACAGUUACUGACGCUGAGGCACGAAGGCCAGGGGAGCAAACGGG